GGAGAGGUGACCGAGUGGUCGAAGGUGCACGCCUGGAGAGCGUGUGUGCGCUCCGCGUACCGUGGGUUCGAAUCCCACCCUCUCCGCCA
rnacentral:tRNA from 1 species